UAACCUCUUUCAGCAGGGACGAAGCGCAAGUGACGGUACCUGCAGAAGAAGCACCGGCCAACUACGUGCCAGCAGCCGCGGUAAUACGUAGGGUGCAAGCGUUGUCCGGAAUUAUUGGGCGUAAAGGGCUCGUAGGCGGUCUGUCGCGUCGGGAGUGAAAACUCAGGGCUUAACCCUGAGCCUGCUUCCGAUACGGGCAGACUAGAGGUAUGCAGGGGAGAAUGGAAUUCCUGGUGUAGCGGUGAAAUGCGCAGAUAUCAGGAGGAACACCGGUGGCGAAGGCGGUUCUCUGGGCAUUACCUGACGCUGAGGAGCGAAAGUGUGGGGAGCGAACAGGAUUAGAUACCCUGGUAGUCCACACCGUAAACGUUGGGCGCUAGGUGUGGGACUCAUUCCACGAGUUCCGUGCCGCAGCUAACGCAUUAAGCGCCCCGCCUGGGGAGUACGGCCGCAAGGCUAAAACUCAAAGGAAUUGACGGGGGCCCGCACAAGCGGCGGAGCAUGCGGAUUAAUUCGAUGCAACGCGAAGAACCUUACCUGGGUUUGACAUAUACGAGAAGCCUCUAGAGAUAGAGGUCUCUUUGGACACUCGUAUACAGGUGGUGCAUGGCUGUCGUCAG
rnacentral:rRNA from 1 species